CAAAAAUUCUUACGUAAUUCCAUUGGAUAUUUUUAAACAACUUUUUAUCCCAAUUUAAUAUCAUUGGUUUUUGUUAAAGAAAAAUUUUACUUUCCGCGUAUUCUUUGCAUACGUACACACACACUUACGCAAAUUAAUUGCGUAGCUACAUACUUAUCGGAAACUGCUGCGAAAAUACUCGUAAAGACUAGGCAAAAUUCUACGAUAACGUUCAUUCGCUAUUAAAUCAUGCAUUUUUAUAUAAAUGUCUAAUUUUUCUAAGCUUUUCUCUAAUUUUGUGCUUCUGUUGGAAAUUCAUUGGAAAAAUUUUCAAACCACAAAGUCAUCCUCGAUCGAAAGUUCACAGAAACGAUUAUGAAAACGGAACAGUUUAAAUCAACAACCUUCUCUCGUCGUGUCCAGAUGCUUGGACCAUUGACUCGGUCGAAAAAGAACGACGCUGGAAGAAAAAUAUUGGUCGUAUCGUAUCGUAGAGGAAGAAUCAGUGCCAUUAAACCCGACGAAUUUCGUGGACGAGUUUUCCCCGUUCGCCAGGAGCGAACGAUAAAUUCCUCUGUAACGAAUCGCCCGAUCAAAUCCCAUGCAAGUAAAAUACUCGUUUUUAUUGCUGCCAUUAUCUAGCGAGCCGUUGAUCUAACGUUUAAAACGCCAUAAAUAUCAUCGCUAGCGUCUGAUGACUUUGUUGUUAAUGAUCUUGCAUGUGACCACGCAAGAUCAGUUUAUCACAUCAUGGCCGCUUUAAUCUUCGACGUUGACUCGCUCGGGCAUCAACUGAUACUAUUUUUAUAACACAAGCAUCGUGAUGGAAAUUAUUACACGAGAGACGUAGUAGCUACUAUGGAAUCUUUCAUUUCCUCGUACUGAUAUUACACUGCAGAUAAUAACGUCAUUAAUAUUUCUACUUCGAACUAGUAUUUUUGUGCAUAAUUUCGAAGAAUAAUCGUCACAGAGCGUCGGAAUAAAAUGAAAUUAUAAUUUAUAACUUAUAACUUUUGCUAAGUGGCUACGACUCUGGCUACGAUAACGAAAUUAACGCGAUAUGUACAUACAAACUUGAUUGUUAUUAAUCGUAUACUUUGCUUUGUAAAAUUAUCUAUUUUCUGACGUUAAAAAUUAUCGCAAGUUUGAAUGAAACAUAAAAAGUUGUUUAUUGAUACUCGUGAUUUCCUGUUUGAAUUUUAUGCUAAGCAUCGCGUAGAACGUUACGAAUACUCCUCGAACUGAGAGCAAAAUUGAAACAUACAAGUUGGAAGAUCGCAGCAGCGUUAUACAAAUAUAUGUAGAUAUGAAAAUUUUACUUGAUACAAAAUCAGCGUUGAAUUUUUCACUUCAAUCCGCAACGUUACGAAGAAAAUCCAUAAAAAUAUCGAAGACCGUUUCCAGCAAGUCCAACCCAAUGGUCCAUUAAAAUAAGUUCCCCGAUAAACCAAAGUACCUCGAUUCAAGCCGGACUGUAAAAUUCCAAAUUGAAACAAACUCCAAAAGUAGCAAUUAACGUCUGGAAAAAGUCGAGAAGACCCGUUUCAUCGCGAUAAUCGAGCUUUAGUCAUAACGAUAUCCUGGAAACGCGUUUAUCCUGAUACCGAACAUUUGCAGUAAGUUUCCUCGCGCGACACAGCCGAAAGAUCAGCGAGGAAAGUUUCCUCAUGCGUCACUUAGGUCCGGUUCGCGUCGACUGCCGGAUAAAUACCGUGUUCUUUUCUCGAUUUGGUGUCCACCUUGAGCCAGGCCAACCGACGAACGAUCCACCUUUCAGACACUUCGAUAUAAGUAAAUAUUUUUAAUUCCAGCGUGACUAAGGCCGACCAGGCGGCCAUUCCGGAUUCCAACGUUUGUCAGAGGAAAUUCUCUUUUUCCCAGGGGAACCCGCGAGGCACGGCUAGGUUACGCCAAUGGAGUCAUCGAGGGGAAUUCAGGUGCACCACGGUCAAGGUAACAAGGCUGUUUGGGACCCGUCGUCUUUUCUCGCCUUCUUUUUCGUGUAAAGGGAUAACUUGUUCCUCGCCUGGCCACGGCUGUUCGAGCCGGGUGAAAGUUUAACUUGGCUACGAGGAACGGGCCGGUCUCCGGAGUUUGCCGAGUUUGAUGGUGUUUUGAUGGCGUUGGACGUAAAGAGGAUACGAUGGACCGCGAGCUGGUUAAGCGACUAAGGGAAUUGGAGAAGGGUUCUGGAAUUUUCUGGUCUGGUUCCGAUGAUUUUAUGAAAAUAUCGCGACAGCAACGAGACAGUUGUAUUAUCGAAGGUUUUGUACUUAACGAGCUCUACAAGAAAAAAAGCAAAGAAUUAUAUAAAUUUGCAAUGACCGAACGAUCGACUAUUUGAUUAAUGGAUAAGUAAUUAUAUUUUAAUACCAUGUAAUUACAUCGUUGUCAAGAAACUUUGUUUCUUGCGUGUUUAUCAUUGGCUAGUCUGGCUAAAUAAUUUUUAUUUCUGUUCCGGUUGCGAUCUUAAACUUGUAUUCUCCUUUAUUUUCUUACUCGUCUGCUAUUUGUCUAACAAUUAUCUUAUGAAGAUAAUAUCUGUGGUUACCUGCGUUUUUCACCUUCACUAAUUAGGAUAAUAUAAAGUUAAGCGUAGCAUAAAUAAUUGUCGAGAUUGUUAUCUAAUAUUUCAUGUAAGUCGUAAGUUGUGUAUUUUAAAAACAGUUACUGUAUUAUUAACAAUUUUUUUAAUAAUUAAAUAUAAAUUUAGAAAUUUCCGAUCGAUCCGAUAAAGGUUGACAAUUUACUUUCAACGACGUUAAUUAAACAUUCUUUUCAGAAAUGCUAAUUUGAUUACAGAUUUAAAAUGACGUUAAUUUCUCAAAUUAAUUACUCAAAUAAAAUUUGUAUCCUAUUUACUAUUUGCUCUGUCACUUUGUUUCAAACAACGUUAUUUAAAUAAUAAUAUAUUUAGGAAAUAUAAAUUAAUAUUUGUCGUUAUAUUUGCCGUUUAGAUAUCUGUUAUUUAAUUUUACCAAGAAAAUAAAGCUGUUCUUUCAUGGUGCGUGGAAUUCCUAUUCCCAAACCGUAGAAAUCAGACAAUUAUUAUCACCAACGGUGUUUGCUUUUAUGGCAAGUGUUUAUAUUCUAAUGUCUACGUCUGAGUAGAUUUCUUUUCCUACUUCCCGAUAAUCUAAUAAGAGAAUUUGACUGUCGAGUUGCUUCAA